AUUGAACGCUGGCGGCAUGCUUUACACAUGCAAGUCGAACGGCAGCACGGGGGCAACCCUGGUGGCGAGUGGCGAACGGGUGAGUAAUACAUCGGAACGUGCCCGCUCGUGGGGGAUAACGUAGCGAAAGUUACGCUAAUACCGCAUCCGAUCUGAGGAUGAAAGCGGGGGACCUUCCGGCCUCGCGCGAUCGGAGCGGCCGGUGUCAGCUUAGGUAGUUGGUGGGGUAAAGGCCUACCAAGCGGACGAUCUGUAGCUGGUCUGAGAGGACGACCAGCCACACUGGGACUGAGACACGGCCCAGACUCCUACGGGAGGCAGCAGUGGGGAAUUUUGGACAAUGGGCGCAAGCCUGAUCCAGCCAUGCCGCGUGCAGGACGAAGGCCUUCGGGUUGUAAACUGCUUUUGUAUGGGACGAAAAGGCUCUGGCUAAUGCCUGGGGCUCAUGACGGUACCGGAAGAAUAAGCACCGGCUAACUACGUG
rnacentral:rRNA from 1 species